rnacentral:rRNA from 1 species
AUGGCAGCAAAGAAACAUCUCUUUCGCUUUGGGUCUUUCGCGAUAAAGGAUGGGUCAGAGAUUCGUUUUUGGGAAGACAUCUGGCUAGGCAAUGCCAGUCUCCGAGAACAAUAUCCAGGCUUAUACAACAUUGUUCGCGAUAAGAAUAAUACUACUGCGCAAGUGCUCAGUUCAUUCCCGCCGAAUAUUUCGUUCAGGUGGGAUUUGUUUGGCCCCCGACUUGUGUCAUGGCAUAAUCUUUUAUCCCGAUUGGAUUCGAUUAACCUGACACAAGGCCGGGAUGUGUUUCGCUGGAACCUUACUACAUCAGGGUCUUUCACUGUAAACUAUAUGUAUCGUGCGCUCACACAUUCUGAGGUACCAGUGAGUAAUAAUAAGAAAAUUUGGAAGUCCAAGAUUCCAGUAAGAGUAAAAAUUUGCAUGUGGUAUCUUCGUAGGGGGGUUGUUUUAACCAAAGACAAUCUCGCACGACACAACUGGCAAGGGAGUAAGAAGUGUUGUUUUUGUACUCAUGACGAAACAAUCAAACACCUCCUUUUCCAAUGCAAGUUUGCACGUUCUACGUGA